rnacentral:tRNA from 1 species
CGGGUUGUGGCGCAGCCAGGCCAGCGCGCCGCGUUCGGGACGCGGAGAUCGCGGGUUCGAAUCCCGCUAACCCGAC